AAUUGGCGGUUACACUCGGUCACACGACCACUGGGGGAGCAUGCUAGCCCGAGGUCACGGAGUACAGAGGGGGAGGCUAAUUACGGCCGAUAACAAAGUCAUUCAUGCAUGUCGGCCGGGAGGGACGAGCACCCGCGGGCGACACACUUCAAAGAAGCGAUUUACGAGGUUGUUGCCGGUUUCGUUCGUACUCCCGUCUUUAUCGGAGUCAACCAAACGAAAUAGACAUCUGUAGCAGACGACACCUUCAGGUUUUCGUUGAAGAUUCUACACUUACUAUUGUUAGGUCCCGAGGAGUGAACGGUCAUCACAUGAUGGACAGAUGCUUGACCAGCAG